rnacentral:lncRNA from 1 species
UGGUGAUAAUAGCGGCAUGGUGCCGAAUAAUUUUGGAGUACUGAGCGUACUUUUGAUCACUUGGUUUGUGAUAAUAGCGGCAGGCUGCCGAAUAAUUUUGGAGUACUGUACGUACUUUUAAUCACCUGGUUGAUGAUAAGCAAGUGGAUGUCCGGUCAGACAAGAGAUCACCAUGAGCGCGAGGCUUAUCAGUCUAUAAGUUGGUAGACUUGUUUAAUCAGCAACAAUGUUGAUCAGUGGAUCUAGUUGCUCAAUAAUUCCUGACAAUAAAUGACAGUAUAAGUAUGACCAUAUAAUGAAUAAAUCAAAUUGACAAAGUUUGUCAAGGCAAAAAUAUUGUACUGUGUGCCUUCUGUGAAUAAAUGAUUUAUUCUGUUGUGUGAUAAAUGACAUGUUGCAUAAAUCAACAAUAUAUAUUAGGUAUUGCCUAAAUGUGUGUGUGUGUGUAUAUAUAUGUGUA